AGCAGUCGCCACGGUAAUACGUAGGUGGCAAGCGUUGUCCGGAAUUAUUGGGCGUAAAGGGCUCGCAGGCGGUUUCUUAAGUCUGAUGUGAAAGCCCCCGGCUCAACCGGGGAGGGUCAUUGGAGACUGGGAAACUUGAGUGCAGAAGAGGAGAGUGGAAUUCCACGUGUAGCGGUGAAAUGCGUAGAGAUGUGGAGGAACACCAGUGGCGAAGGCGACUCUCUGGUCUGUAACUGACGCUGAGGAGCGAAGGCGUGGGGAGCGAACAGGAUUAGAUACCCCGGUAGUCCCUGUCUCUUAUAC
rnacentral:rRNA from 1 species